rnacentral:lncRNA from 1 species
UCACGAAGUUCUCCUGAUGAUUCUAAGGGAGGAUUACUCCAUUUUACAAAGGAGGAAACUGAGAUUCAGAGUGGCUGGUGUCGGGGAAGUGGGAGAAUUCCCCCCACGGCUUUUCCUCAAGGUUCUUAUGGCUGGUCAAAUAAUCUAAGAGGCAGGUGUCCUCUGUGACCUGAGGGGACGGGAUGGCCUCCAACUUCCCUGAGCACAUUGGGGCUCUCAGGGCUGCAAUACCUCAGCCUCCCAGCCUCACCCUCAUAAACUCAUCUGUGACUGUAUCC